rnacentral:tRNA from 1 species
GUGGUGGCUCAGGGGUAAAGCACUUGCCUCGCACCUGUGAGGCCCUGGGUUCGGUCCUCAGCACCACA